rnacentral:ncRNA from 2 species
ACGAUUGAGUGAAUGUUCGGUUCUGGUGGGGAGCAGUCACCAGAGGUAACGGGGAAAGUAUGCCUAUGCUGUGCUGUAGGCUCACGGUGAAAAUCCGGCGCUGUCCCGCAACUGUGAAGGAAAGUAAUUGUGUUGACUUUCCCAGCCAGAAUGCCCGCCGAAUUUUAUCUAUGAUC